GCCCCGGUAGCUCAGCUGGAUAGAGCAGCGGUCUUCUAAACCGCAGGUCGCGGGUUCGAAUCCUGCCCGGGGCG
rnacentral:tRNA from 1 species